rnacentral:lncRNA from 1 species
AAGGAGUUUAGACGAGUCUUACUUGUUUUCGUCGUAAAAUCUCAACAAAAACUCUGAUUGAGACGAAACCAAAAACGUUUUGAUCGGGAUUCAAAAGAGAACGCAAAGGAGGAUCUUUUUGAGGCCUGACAAGUUGCUACGUAGCGAGUUGGAGGGCUGACAGGUCGCUAUGUAGCGAGUAGGAGCAAGCCAAGAAGUUUAGACUAGUCUAACUUGUUUUCGUCGUAAAAUCUCAACAGAAAUUCCAAUUGAGACGAAAUGAAAAGCGUUUCGAUCGGGAUUCAAAAGAGAACGCAAAGGAGGAUAUUUUUGAGGCCUGACAGGUCGCUACGUAGCGAGUUGGAGGUCUGACAGGUCGCUAUGUAGCGAGUAGGAGCAAGCCACGAAGUUUAGACGAGUCUAACUUGUUUUCGUCGUAAAAUCUCAACGGAAAUUCCAAUUGAAACGAAACGAAAAGCGUUUCGAUCGGGAUUCAAAAGAGAACGCAAAGGAGGAUCUUUUUGAGGCCUGACAGGUCGCUAUGUAGCGAGUUGGAGGUCUGACAGGUCGCUAUGUAGCGAGUAGGAGCAAGCCAAGAAGUUUAGACGAGUCUAACUUGUUUUC